GUAUCGUGGGCAGCGUUAGAGGUGACGAGCGUGGUGGUGCCACGCUCGUGAACAGGGAACUCCGGUGUGAUUCCGGGACGGUCCG
rnacentral:tRNA from 1 species